rnacentral:lncRNA from 1 species
CAUGGAGUUCCCGUCGUGGCGCAGUGGUUAACGAAUCCGACUAGGAACCAUGAGGUUGCGGGUUCAGUCCCUGCCCUUGCUCAGUGGGUUAACGAUUCGGCGUUGCCCUGAGCUGUGGUGUAGGUUGCAGAAGCGGCUCGGAUCCCGCGUUGCUGUGGCUCUGGCGUAGGCUGGUGGCUACAGCUCCGAUUCAACCCCUAGCCUGGGAACCUCCAUAUGCCGCGGGAGUGGCCCAAGAAAUAGCAACAACAACAACACAAAGACAAAAAGACAAAAAAAAAAGACAGGACUUGUUUUGAAAAUCCUAGAGGAUGCCCCAGUAAUGCAGUCGAUCAUCAGCAGAAAUAGCAGAAUUUCUCCAACUCUAUUUGGAAUUUAUAGAGGAAAUUAAGGAACAAGAGCAAUGAUGAAGUAACUUGAUUUUACCAAAUUCAUGACUUAUUGCGUAUCAAUAAUUUUAUGACAAGUCUUAACUCUGUAGUAGGAGUCCAGUGAAUUUUCAGUCUCUUAGAGAUGGAUGUCUUGUUACUCCUCCCAAGGCUCUUUCAACCCCAACUGAGUUUAUGACAAUGAGGUGACUUUGGGAAAUGACUCAGAAAUGGGCCUGCUGGUUGCCAGGAGAUCCAAGCCUGAAUAGACCAUACUUUCACUCCCACCUCCUGAUUUCCAGGGAGAGAGGCUGGAGCUUGAAUCAAUCAUAGAUGUCAGAGUUCCCGUCGUGGCUCAGUUGAAACGAAUUCUCAGCUGCGGCCCUGAAAAACAAACAAACCUCAGGUGCGGCCCUAAAAAACAAAAAAAUCAUCGAUGCCAACAAUUUCAUCAGUGAUGCCUGUGUAAUGAAGUCUCCAUAAAAACCCAUAAAGAGGAGGUUCAUAGAGUUCCUGUCGUGGCUUAGGGCUGAUGAACCCAACUAGUAUCCAUGAGGACUCAGGAUCCGGCAUUGCUGUGGCUGUGGUGUAGGCUGGUGGCUCAGCUUUGAUUCAGCCCCUAGCCUGGGAUCUUCCAUAUGCCACGAAUUCGGCCCUAAAAAGCUAAAAUAAUAAUAAUAAUACAGGAGGAGGUUCAGAGAGUGUCCGAGCUGCUGAACCAAAAUGCUUCCAUGUUCCGCACUGCUGGCUCCUCUGGGACCUCUUCCUCUGUAUCUCUUCCUCUGGCUGUUGAUAAGCAUCUCUCACCAUCCUCUACCAAAUUCAUCAACCCUUAGGGGAGGGUCAAGGGAACCUCUUGUUUAUAGCCAGUCAGUCAGAAGCACAGGUGACAACCUGGACUUGUCAUUGGUACCUGAAGUGGAGGAUGGUCUUGUGGGACUGAACUAUUAACCUGUGCAACCUGAUGCUACUUCUGGUCGAUAUGCCAGAACUGAUUAGAAUUGCAGGACACCCUACUCGUGUCCAAGAAUUGCAUGUUGGUGGAGGGAAAAAAACACACAUUAGAACUGGUGACCAAAUGAUUAUAUAGAUAAAUAUCUAAUAGCUUGAUGUAACCAAAGAAGUGUUAAAUGAAAACAGCUAAACAACUAAAAUAUAAACUCCAUUUUUUUUUUUUUUUUUUUUUUUUAAGGGCCACACCCCCAGCAUAUGAAAGUUCCCAGGCUGGGGGUCAGAUUGAAACUGUAGCUGCUGGUCUAUGCCACAGCCACAGCAACACCAGAACUGAGCCUCAUCUGUAGCCACGGCAAUGCCGGAUCCUUAACCCACUGAGCGAGGCCAGGGAUCGAACCUGCAUCCUCAUGGAUACUGAUUUGUUUCCACUGAGCCAUGACAGGAACUCCCUAAACUCCAUUUUAAAAUAUAAAUAUAUACACAACAUAGAGUGUGAAAUGAUACACAUUCUUGAACAGUGGAAUUAUGAAUGACCUUUAUUCUCGUAUACUUUUCCUUAUUUUUGUAAAAUACAUAAAAUGAUUAUAUCUCAAUUUAAAACUAGAAAAAUAGGAUGCAACUGACAAGGGCUUAAUGAUGCAACUGACAAAGGCUUAAUCUCUAAAAUAUGCAAACAACUUACACAACUCAACAGCAAAAAAGCCAACAACCCAAUUGAAAAAUGGGCAAAAGACCUGAAUAGAUAUUUCUCCAAGGAAGAUAUACAGAUGGCCAACAAGCACAUGAAAAAAUGCUCAGCAUCCCUGAUUAUUAGAGAAAUGCAAAUCAAAACUACCAUGAGAUACCACCUCACACCAGUCAGAAUGGCCAUCAUUCAUAAGUCCACAAAUAAAUGCUGGAGCGGUAUGGAGAAAAGGGAACCCUCCUGCACUGUUGGUGGGAAUGUAAGCUGGUACAACUACUAUGGAGAACGGUAUGGAGGUACUUUAGAAAACUUUACAUAGAACGACCAUAUGACCCAGCAAUCCCAUUCUUGGGCAUAUAUCCGGACAAAACUUUCCUUAAAAAAAAACACAUGCAGGAGUCCCCGUCGUGGCGCAGUGGUUAAUGACUCCAACUAGGAACCAUGAGGUUGCAGGUUCGAUCCCUGGCCUCACUCAGUGGAUUAAGGAUCUGGCGUUGCUGUGAGCUGUGGUGUAGGUCGAAGACACGGCUCGGAUCCUGCAUUGCUGUGGCGUAGGCGUAGGCGGGCAGCUACAGCUCCAAUUAGACCCCUAGCCUGGGAACCUCCAUAUGCCACGGGAGCGGCC